rnacentral:lncRNA from 1 species
AAUGUGUUUAGUGUGAAUGUGCAUUUAGAAUAGAGAAAUUGUAAUUUUCCUGUCUCUCAGCCGUUCAUUCCACGCAUAACCUAAAAAUGAACAGAAAUAAGCAUCUGCUGAGAGUGGUUUAGGCUUUUAAGAAUUAUUUAAAAGUGAAAUAGCCGAUAACUUUAGUAUUUCCGAUUGAUUUAUUUCAAUAUUUAUAUUAUCUUUCACUUAUUUUGAGCUAAAGACUAGCAGACUUGACAAGUGCUUGAAUUUCCUACUAAUGUCAACUAACAGUUCCAAAUGAUCAAGUUUUAAGUACUGUAUUAUGACUUCUCUGAAGGAAACAUUUUUCGUCUGAACCAGAAAUUAUCAUUGAACAUAGCAAUGUAAAACAUAGCAAAAGUUGUCCCAGGAUUAUUGGUGCAAACUUUAAGGGAAGGUAAGGAACAUCACAAGGAUUCAGAUUUGCAUAGCAACCCAUGAUUGGAAACAUCUUCGUUUGCUGCUAGGUGAUGUUGUUUAUAAGAUGGAUUGCAGAGCUCAUUCUAGGCAGGGUAAACAGAGCGCAGCACCCUGCUGCCCUUUUAGUCAAAAGAAUUCACCCUGUUGCCCCUGAAGUAAAUUAGUGCCCUGAUGUAAUAGACUCCAUACCCUUUUUGCCCUUUCUUUCCUGAACCCUUCUUUCCUUUUUCAUCCAACCCUUCUUUACUUUUCCCCCAAACUCUACAAUGGAUUUCAUGAACUGUUAUUUUUAACUCUUUUUAUUUAGUUUGUCAUUGCUGUCAAUACAUAGAUUUAUAUGGGAAAGGAAAAAUAGCCAUCACAACCCAUUGUUGCACUUGUCUUUGAAAGUUUGCAGUUACUUCCACUAUCAUUAAAUCAUAAUUAUUAUUAAUCAUUUUAAUUAUUUAAUCAUAACUACA